ensembl:snoRNA
AUCCUUUUGUAGUUCAUAAGCAUGAUGACUGGGUGACCACAUGCAUGCACUGAGAUGUACCCCCCUCAAACUUGUUACCACAUUAACCAUCUGACA